rnacentral:rRNA from 1 species
UACAGAGGUCUCAAGCGUUGUUCGGAUUCAUUGGGCGUAAAGGGUGUGUAGGUGGCGCCGUAAGUCGGGUGUGAAAUUUCGGAGCUUAACUCCGAAACUGCAUUCGAUACUGCGGUGCUUGAGGACUGGAGAGGAGACUGGAAUUCAUGGUGUAGCGGUGAAAUGCGCAGAUAUCAGGAGGAACACCGGUGGCGAAGGCGGUUCUCUGGGCCUUACCUGACGCUGAGGAGCGAAAGCGUGGGGAGCAAACAGG